rnacentral:rRNA from 1 species
CAUGCAAGUCGAGCGGACUUGAUGGAGAGCUUGCUCUCCUGAUGGUUAGCGGCGGACGGGUGAGUAACACGUAGGCAACCUGCCUGCAAGACCGGGAUAACCCACGGAAACGUGAGCUAAUACCGGAUAUCUCAUUUCCUCUCCUGAGGGGAUGAUGAAAGACGGAGCAAUCUGUCACUUGCGGAUGGGCCUGCGGCGCAUUAGCUAGUUGGUGAGGUAACGGCUCACCAAGGCGACGAUGCGUAGCCGACCUGAGAGGGUGAACGGCCACACUGGGACUGAGACACGGCCCAGACUCCUACGGGAGGCAGCAGUAGGGAAUCUUCCGCAAUGGGCGAAAGCCUGACGGAGCAACGCCGCGUGAGUGAUGAAGGUUUUCGGAUCGUAAAGCUCUGUUGCCAGGGAAGAACGUCCGGUAGAGUAACUGCUAUCGGAGUGACGGUACCUGAGAAGAAAGCCCCGGCUAACUACGUGCCAGCAGCCGCGGUAAUACGUAGGGGGCAAGCGUUGUCCGGAAUUAUUGGGCGUAAAGCGCGCGCAGGCGGUCAUUUAAGUCUGGUGUUUAAGGCCAAGGCUCAACCUUGGUUCGCACUGGAAACUGGGUGACUUGAGUNCAGAAGAGGAGAGCGGAAUUCCACCUGUCCCGGCGAAAUGCNU